rnacentral:lncRNA from 10 species
GAGCUUGGAGCCGCAGGGCUUAAUCCCGCGCGGCUCAGAGAUGGGUUUCUGGACUCGCGAAGCAGCUGCAACAAGGCAUCACUCACUGUAUAAGUAUUUCCAUUUCUGAGAGCAAAAGGAAGAACUUAAGCGGGCGGCACUUGGAGUGUAAAUUGCUUUGUAGUAUUUAAAGGCAGAAUGGAUCCUGGGCAGCCGAGCUGGAUCACUGUUGUAUUUUUAAACCUUAUUCCUGGAAGCACUACGGAUAUCAGAUCAAUUUAGAAAGCCAAAGAGUACCUCUGGGAAUGAAAUGGUAGUAAUAGAAACAAUAUUUGGCCAAACUAUCGCUGUAUGCCAAUGAUGCCAAAAAUCACAGUAACCUGGCAGCAACAAACCGGCAGGACUUCCUGUGAAAUCAUGACCACCAUGUGCUCUUUCAGCCUCUAUCAGUUCCUACCUCUAAGCACCUGAGAGCCAAAGCAAACCACAGGAAACCACAGAAUGAAAGCCAAGCAUAUUCCAUCAUUUCCUAAAACCAAGAUAGAGCACAUAUGGGAACUUGUGAAAUAAGCUUCUUUGGACCUUUUAAGUUGCAUUAUCCCAUAAAAUGUGGUGGAUUCAAUGUUGUAUGGCCUGUAAAACUAAGUAAUGAAGGCUGAUAUGUACCCACCUGGCUCUGUCUUGGGAUCACACAACUUGGGAGCCAAAACAGAUUGCAAAUGAUGUUCAAAUCAAGGACUGGCUUAAGGGAGAAAAUCAAUUAUACUGUACAAC